rnacentral:rRNA from 1 species
AAAUGUACCGGGGCUAAACAUAUUACCGAAACUGUGGAUGAACCUCUUUAGAGGUUCGUGGUAGGAGAGCGUUCUAAGGGCGGUGAAGUCAGACCGGAAGGACUGGUGGAGCGCUUAGAAGUGAGAAUGCCGGUAUGAGUAGCGAAAGAAGGGUGAGAAUCCCUUCCACCGAAUAUCUAAGGUUUCCUGAGGAAGGCUCGUCCGCUCAGGGUUAGUCGGGACCUAAGCCGAGGCCGAUAGGCGUAGGCGAUGGACAACAGGUAGAGAUUCCUGUACCAGUGCUAAUUGUUUAACCGAUGGGGUGACACAGAAGGAUAGGGAAUCGCACGAAUGGAAAUGUGCGUCCAAGCAGUGAGUGUGAGAAGUAGGCAAAUCCGCUUCUCGCGAAGCAUGAGCUGUGAUGGGGAAGGAAAUUAAGUACGGAAGUUCCUGAUUUCACGCUGUCAAGAAAAGCCUCUAGGAAGAGUAGUACUGCCCGUACCGCAAACCGACACAGGUAGAUGAGGAGAGAAUCCUAAGGUGAGCGAGAGAACUCUCGUUAAGGAACUCGGCAAAAUGACCCCGUAACUUCGGGAGAAGGGGUGCUCUAUUAGGGUGCAAGCCCGAGAGAGCCGCAGUGAAUAGGCCCAGGCGACUGUUUAGCAAAAACACAGGUCUCUGCAAAACCGUAAGGUGACGUAUAGGGGCUGACGCCUGCCCGGUGCUGGAAGGUUAAGAGGAGUGCUUAGCUUCGGCGAAGGUACGAAUUGAAGCCCCAGUAAACGGCGGCCGUAACUAUAACGGUCCUAAGGUAGCGAAAUUCCUUGUCGGGUAAGUUCCGACCCGCACGAAAGGCGCAACGAUCUGGGCACUGUCUCAACGAGAGACUCGGUGAAAUUAUAGUACCUGUGAAGAUGCAGGUUACCCGCGACAGGACGGAAAGACCCCGUGGAGCUUUACUGCAACCUGAUAUGGAAUGUUUGUACCGCUUGUACAGGAUAGGUAGGAGCCGAAGAGACG